GAUCCUGGCUCAGGAUGAACGCUAGCUACAGGCUUAACACAUGCAAGUCGAGGGGCAUCAGGAAGAAAGCUUGCUUUCUUUGCUGGCGACCGGCGCACGGGUGAGUAACACGUAUCCAACCUACCCUUUACUCGGGGAUAGCCUUUCGAAAGAAAGAUUAAUACCCGACUGGCGAUAAUAGAUUCCGCCAUGGUUUCUAUUAUUAAAGGAAGUUCCGGUAAACGGGUAAGUGGGGAGUGCGUUCCAUUAGGUUGUUGGUGAGGUAACGG
rnacentral:rRNA from 1 species